UUCUUCAGAAAAAUUUUUUAGGAAAAUUAAUUGAUUAGAAGGAAUUCGGCAAGUUUAGUUGCUUCGCCUGUUUAUCAAAAACAUGGCUCUUUGCUUAUAUAAAUAUAAAGAGUCGAGCCUGCCCAGUGAAUUUUUUUUAACGGCCGCGGUACUCUGACCGUGCAAAGGUAGCAUAAUCAUUUGCCUUAUAAUUGAAGGCUAGUAUGAAUGGUUUGACGAAAGCAAUACUGUCUCCUUUUUAUUUUCAAGAACUUAACCUUUAGGUGAAGAGGCCUAAAUUCUAUUGAAGGACAAGAAGACCCUGUCGAGCUUAAAAGAUGUCAUAGAAGUCUAAUAUACUUUUAGAUAAAUUUUCUAUCAAGCUUUUUAGUUGGGGCGACUAAGGAACAAAAAAAGCUUCUUCUUAACAAUAAACAGUCAUGUUUAGAUCCGAUAAGCAAACGAUUAAAGGAAUUAGUUACCGCAGGGAUAACAGCAUAAUCUCUCUUAAGAGACCUAAUCGAAAGAGGGGGUUGUGACCUCGAUGUUGGACUAGAAUAUCCUGAAGAUG
rnacentral:rRNA from 1 species